UGUUUUUGGCUUUACAUUAUGUCUCUCUCCAUUAAAAUUAAGCUACCCUAAAAGUUGGACACUGUUCAUUAUUUUUUGUUAGUAGGCAAACUUAAAAAUUCAGCUGAGAAUCAAAGAAUUAUUUUCCCGAUCUAAAGUCUUGAUCAGGGUCACGUUGAUUGAGGGCAGCAAACUAAGUGCUGCUGUCUGCUGUCUAAUUGCAAUAAUGAAAUCUUUGCUCUCUGUGCAGGGUGUACCUGGAAGCCCGGGUUCUCGAGGUUCACCCGGGGAAAGAGGUCGAUCUCUACCUGGACAGAAAGGAGACGAGGGGGAUCAGGGUUUGCAGGGACGUCCAGGGCCGUUUGAGUAUGUUGACCCUCCCGAAGACCUCUACAUCAAAGGAGACAAAGUAGGUGGAGCCUCACUCUGUUACAGCCUAUCAGAUGACACAUUUAAGGGGACUUCCUGUUUCUGUUAAACUUUAUAGCUAAUUAGCCAGCUCGAUGCAUAGUGACAUUCAGAGUUGCUAACAGCACAAAGCUUUCUGCAUGAAGCCUGUGUAGACCUCAAACCUCAGGAAGUAGGAGCCUUUAUUUUUAAAAACUGGUUCUAUGUAGGUUUAUUGUAAAAUUCGAGUAGCUAGUGUUUUUAAUGCCUGGUACAAAUGUUGGUUUCUAAUAUCUCUUGGAGUCCAAUGUUGGGAGGUUUGCUGUCGGUUUCUUAUGCUGGUUUCCAUUUAGGGGCUCUAAUGUUGCAUUCUGCUUGGAUAUUCCAGGGCUCCCGGGGAGUUAAAGGAGUCUGUGGAAUUGACGGACUGCGGUAGGUUAAAUAUCUUAUUUAGGAACUUGAAGUUCUCCUUGUUGUUGGAUUCUUGGGCACCAGGC
rnacentral:lncRNA from 1 species